rnacentral:rRNA from 1 species
UGGGGAAUUUUGGACAAUGGGGGCAACCCUGAUCCAGCAAUGCCGCGUGUGUGAAGAAGGCCUUCGGGUUGUAAAGCACUUUUGUCCGGAAAGAAAACGCCGUGGUUAAUACCCGUGGCGGAUGACGGUACCGGAAGAAUAAGCACCGGCUAACUACGUGCCAGCAGCCGCGGUAAUACGUAGGGUGCAAGCGUUAAUCGGAAUUACUGGGCGUAAAGCGUGCGCAGGCGGUCCGCUAAGACAGAUGUGAAAUCCCCGGGCUUAACCUGGGAACUGCAUUUGUGACUGGCGGGCUAGAGUAUGGCAGAGGGGGGUAGAAUUCCACGUGUAGCAGUGAAAUGCGUAGAGAUGUGGAGGAAUACCGAUGGCGAAGGCAGCCCCCUGGGCCAAUACUACGCUCAUGCACGAAAAGCGUGGGGGAGCAAACAGGAUUAGAUACCCUGGUAGUCCACGCCCUAAACGAUGUCAAC